AUUACCGAGUUUACAACUCCCAAACCCCUGUGAACAUACCAAUUGUUGCCUCGGCGGAUCAGCCCGCUCCCGGUAAAACGGGACGGCCCGCCAGAGGACCCCUAAACUCUGUUUCUAUAUGUAACUUCUGAGUAAAACCAUAAAUAAAUCAAAACUUUCAACAACGGAUCUCUUGGUUCUGGCAUCGAUGAAGAACGCAGCAAAAUGCGAUAAGUAAUGUGAAUUGCAGAAUUCAGUGAAUCAUCGAAUCUUUGAACGCACAUUGCGCCCGCCAGUAUUCUGGCGGGCAUGCCUGUUCGAGCGUCAUUUCAACCCUCAAGCCCUCGGGUUUGGUGUUGGGGAUCGGCGAGCCCUUGCGGCAAGCCGGCCCCGAAAUCUAGUGGCGGUCUCGCUGCAGCUUCCAUUGCGUAGUAGUAAAACCCUCGCAACUGGUACGCGGCGCGGCCAAGCCGUUAAACCCCCAACUUCUGAAUGUUGACCUCGGAUCAGGUAGGAAUACCCGCUGAACUUAAGCAUAUCAAUAAGCGGAGG
rnacentral:rRNA from 1 species